rnacentral:rRNA from 1 species
GUGGGGAAUCUUAGACAAUGGGCGCAAGCCUGAUCUAGCCAUGCCGCGUGAGCGAUGAAGGCCUUAGGGUUGUAAAGCUCUUUCGCUGGGGAAGAUAAUGACUGUACCCAGUAAAGAAGCCCCGGCUAACUCCGUGCCAGCAGCCGCGGUAAUACGGAGGGGGCUAGCGUUAUUCGGAAUUACUGGGCGUAAAGCGCACGUAGGCGGACCAGAAAGUUGGGGGUGAAAUCCCGGGGCUCAACCUCGGAACUGCCUUCAAAACUCCUGGUCUUGAGUUCGAGAGAGGUGAGUGGAAUUCCGAGUGUAGAGGUGAAAUUCGUAGAUAUUCGGAGGAACACCAGUGGCGAAGGCGGCUCACUGGCUCGAUACUGACGCUGAGGUGCGAAAGCGUGGGGAGCAAACAGGAUUAGAAACCCUAGUAGUCC